UCACGGGUAUGGAGAGAGUUCUCUCCAUUAGCUAACAUUACAAUGAAAAACGGAACGAUUCGUUUUUUGGGACGCGGAUGCACAAAAUAAAAUUACAAAAAUGUGGUCAUCGUCAUGUCAACUUUGGUGUCGCCAGCUUUCCAUGCUCUCCACUUUAUGCCGCUUUAUGCUGUUUGGCGGAUUUGAGGCCUGAGCCAGCCAUCGUAACAGCAAAGUUUUGUUUGUGCUGCUUGUGCUGGACCUCCAGUCGUAUGAUUUGACUGAUGAACUCCUGUCAUCAGCAACAAUCACAGCAUCAUAACUUAGAUAAACAGCAUCCGUUUGAUUGGGGAACUUCCAGACUUCCAGUGUCGACCGAGUAAAGGAUCUCUUCAAUGCCCCUUUCUUUAAAUGUCCUCGUGUACGCCCA